rnacentral:rRNA from 1 species
CUUGAAUAACUAUAAGAGGUCCAGCCUGCCCAGUGACUUUGUUCAACGGCCGCGGUAUCCUAACCGUGCGAAGGUAGCGUAAUCACUUGUCUUUUAAAUGGGGACUUGUAUGAAUGGCAUCACGAGGGUUAUACUGUCUCCUUUUUCUAAUCAGUGAAACUAAUCUUCCCGUGAAGAAGCGGGAAUAAACAUAUAAGACGAGAAGACCCUAUGGAGCUUUAAACUUAAUAACAAAUACUAACCUUACAUCAACCUUCAGAAUAUUAACCUUAAUUUUAGUAUUAUGAUUAUUAGUUUUAGGUUGGGGUGACCGCGGAGUAAAAAUUAACCUCCACAUUGAACGGGACCUGUCCCUGAGCCAAGAACUACAGCUCAAAGCACCAACAAAUUGACAUUAAUUGACCCAAUAUUUUGAUCAACGAAC